rfam:Rhizobium freirei PRF 81 Cont755, whole genome shotgun sequence.
UGGGGAAUAGUUCAAUGGUAGAACGACGGACUCUGACUCCGUUAAUCUUGGUUCGAGUCCAGGUUCCCCAG